rnacentral:rRNA from 1 species
AAUGAACGCCUGGCGGCGCGCCUAAUACAUGCAAGUCGAGCGAGAAGACGUAGCAAUACGUUUGUAAAGCGGCGAACGGGUGAGGAAUACAUGGGUAACCUACCCUCGAGUGGGGAAUAACUAGCCGAAAGGUUAGCUAAUACCGCGUACGCUUCUUGGACUUCGGUUCAGGGAGGAAAGCGAUGCCGAGGGUAUCGCGCUCUUGGAUGGGCUCAUGUCCUAUCAGCUUGNGGUGAGGUAACGGCUCACCAAGGCUUCGACGGGUAGCUGGUCUGAGAGGACGAUCAGCCACACUGGCACUGCGACACGGGCCAGACUCCUACGGGAGGCAGCAGUAAGGAAUAUUGCGCAAUGGGCGAAAGCCUGACGCAGCGACGCCGCGUGGGGGAUGAAGGUCUUCGGAUUGUAAACCCCUUUCGGGAGGGAAGAUGGAAUGGGGUAACCCAUUCGGACGGUACCUCCAGAAGCAGCCACGGCUAACUUCGUGCCAGCAGCCGCGGU